GACGAACGCUGGCGGCGUGCUUAACACAUGCAAGUCGAACGGAAAGGCCUGCUUUCCCUUGUGGUUUGCGGGUACUCGAGUGGCGAACGGGUGAGUAACACGUGAGUGAUCUGCCCCCAACUUGGGUAUAAGCCUGGGAAACUGGGUCUAAUUCCCGAUAGGACUGCAGGGUGGUGCCUGUGGUGGAAAACGAUUUUCUAGUGGUUGGGGAUGAGCUCGCGGCCUAUCAGCUUGUUGGUGGGGUAAUGGCCUACCAAGGCGGCGACGGGUAGCCGGCCUGAGAGGGUGGACGGCCACAGUGGGACUGGGAUACGGCCCAGACUCCUACGGGAGGCAGCAGUGGGGAAUAUUGCACAAUGGGCGGAAGCCUGAUGCAGCGACGCCGCGUGGGGGAUGACGGCCUUCGGGUGGUAAACUCCUUUCGACCGCGAGGAAGCCACCUGGUUGGAAGGGUGGUGACGGUAGUGGUAGAAGAAGCACCGGCUAACUACGUG
rnacentral:rRNA from 1 species